rnacentral:misc_RNA from 1 species
AGUUUGGUCCCUCAAGAAACCAGCCAAACUAUGCACUUGCACAUAUACACACAAAGGAGGAAGAAAAAAGAGAGCUAGAGAGAGAAGAAUUCCACAUUUAAGUCUUAAGUUAGACUAUGUAUUUGUACCACUAAAUAGGCACAAUUGAGCAGCAAGCGUUCAUUAUGAGCAUAGUUAUAUAUCUUUAAGCAAUGAUGAUAUACUUAAACCUAUUUCCUCUUAACACAAUAAGGCUAAUUGAACAGCUCAAGUUAACACUCCUGAAAUCAAUCGAAAAACAGGGGAAUACAUGUAUUAUUUUAACUAACAGAGGGGACAUCUAAAAGAGCAGCAGAGAGUAAGGGGAAAAAACAUUUAUAGAAUGACAAACCAAGCCCAAAAAGGGUAUAGCUUGAAAUAAUUUGUCUAAACAAUACAAGAUGCCAAGCUUGUAUCAAAUUAGUUGAAAUUGAAAGGACUGAUUUUCAGUGAAGAAAAACUACUCUUAAAUUAGCAAAUUAGACUUUCUUUUUCUUUCCUAAUGCAACAAAAUUGAACAUCCAUAGAAGUAAAACAACAGUUAAACAUCAACACGCAAGACACAUGAAAAUAACUUAUUUGGAAAAAAAAAAAGGAG